GCAGGCUCUUAAAGGGGGCGACGGCUUGCGGCCGCAGACCAGGCCCGUGGGGAGUGAAUGUUCGGGACGGUGCUCGAGAGCGCUACUGUUUGGAGUUACAGAUUCUGGCUUGUGCGAUGGCUUGCCGGAACCAAAGCGAACAAAAUAUUCGAACUUUCUUCCGAACACGGUGGUGGACUCUGUUCUGCCAUAAAGUCCUGAUCCUUCCCUGAUCGACUCCGCCCUCACCAGCCACACCACCGUUUCCAGGCCGGCCACACCUGACUGACCAGUCCACCCUUGGAAAAAUCGAGCAAGUUCUGAAAAUAAAAAGAAAGAAGUCCUGUGUUCCCAUGAUGAUGUCAUAAUUUCAUUUCGUGUCAAGGUAAAAAUAUAGUGCUAGGGAGUUCCAGAAUUUUCUGGUCAGUCAACAACUUAGUCCAUCUACUGGUCCUUAUAAGUAUAUCAGGACACAAUUACCACGGGGUUGCCCAGGGUCCUGGACUGGAAACAUGGAGUCACUUCCAGUUAGUUCCACCGAAGCUCCACCACAGACCUGCCUGAGGACUCUGGGUAAAUAACCUCAGGCCGCUUCAGUGUCUCCACUGCUGAAAAGGGGGAAGUCACAUACACAUCUGCGUUAUUGUACAGACGAUAAAUGACAACUUCUCAGCCACAAUCUGAAUGAGAAAACUAAGCACUGCUUUCUUGGAGUCCAUGUGGAACCCUGGGCCUGAUCCUGCCCCGGGGUUGGUCAAGCAAUGAAUUUAUUUAGGAAAAAUACCAGUGAAGAGUGGGCUUGAUCAUGACCAAUUCACAAUCUCCAGAGGAUGUGAUGGCUCAAUAGCAUUACCUGUGCCCACAACUGAUGGUAACUGAGACAGCAGGCUCUGAGACCCAGAGUUCCUCCCCUCUAGGAAUUUUCAGCCCACGUAGAGGAAGAUAUAAAAUAAUGACACGAAUAAUUACAAAACCAAAUAGCAUAUAUUGAGUAAUGACACAAGAAUUUUUCUCUUCUCUUUUUCUUUGCAAGUUAUUAGUCACUAUAAAGCAAUGGCUAAGAGCACAGGCUGAGGAGGCUGGCUUCCUAGGUUGGAAUCCCAGCUUCACCUUUCACUUGCUGCAUGGCCUCUGGAAAAUUACUUCACUUCUCUGUGCUGCCGUCUUUUUUAUUACAAAAUAAUCAGCCGGGUGUGGUGGCUCACGCCUGUAAUCCUAUCACUUUGGAAGGACAAGGUGGGCGGAUCACUUGAGAUCAGGAGUUCAAGACCAGCCUGGCUAAUAUGGUGAAACCCUGUCUCUACUAAAAAAAAAAAUACAGUAAUUAGCCUGGCAUGGCGGCAGGUGCCUGUAAUCCCAGCUACUCGGAAGGCUGAGGCAGGAGAAUUGCUUGAACACAGGAGGCAGAGGUUGCAGUGAGCCGAGAUCACACCAUUGUACUCCAG
rnacentral:lncRNA from 1 species